rnacentral:misc_RNA from 1 species
GAUUGUGAUAAGUGCUUACUUGGAUUGUUGAGAUAGCAAAUUAAAGUGAUGAUUUUGGUUGAAUAAUCGGCAACAGUUAUUAUCAUAGUCUUGUACAUAUAGAGAUCGAUGAUCAACUUUCUGAUCAUAUCUUGUAUGCUUCUUCAUAUGCAUAAAAAUAUGAUCACAAACAACUAUAAAUAUUAAUAGCUAAAAUAAGAGUGGUUCGAUGGAUUGAAUAAUCGCACAGACGGA